CUCCAUGUAUCUUUGGGAACUGUCAAGUGUGGCAGUCUCCCUUCCUAGCCAUGGAAGAGCAUAUUCUUGUUCAUCAGCAAAGCUGGCACCAUUUAAUUGGUAUCAGAUUCUGACUUGCACAAGUAACAUUC
ensembl:snoRNA